UUUUUGUCUUGGGAAACCCUUACGUUGGAAAACGGAAAACUCAACGAGGGAAAUACAGUUUCUGAAAUCCCUUGCCAACUGGCUUCAGACCAGAUUGAGUUUACAGGAGACCCUGGCAGGAGACUGGAAAGCAGAGGAGAAGAUGAGCCAGAGCACUUUUCCCCCAUUCUCUCUGCUUUGAGUAGCAUCUCCAGCAGGGCCUGAAUCUCCUCCAUGGAUCUGGCUACCACUGGAUAAUGCUCUAUCUCUUUGUGGUCCAAGGUCCCACUGGGCAGGCCCGCUGAGUUUCCAGCUUCCAUGGGGCUCUCUUCCCUCUGUCUCUCUAGUCUUACAGGUGUUUCCUGGUAUUGCCUCCCAAAUAACCCAAUUGCAGUCAAGUCCUUGUCUUAGGGUCUGCUUCUUGGGGAAACUGAAGACAAAUGGCUUUUGAAAUGCAGAGCUGGGCUGACGCUUGCUUUGCUGAAAUCCCCAGCCUGGUAUAACAAUAUCUUAAAAUGGAAGAGGUCCUCUCCGUUUUGGAUGAAGCUUUCAACAGCUGGGUACAAAACGGGUGGCAAAGACUUGACGCAGGGCUUGCCAAGGGGGUGAUCUAAGGGGGUUUUGUGACUCUCGUCCUGUUCAGCGUCAACUGUUUCCAUCCCUUCGAGGUGUGGACUGGACUGAAAAGAAAGUCUCUAUAAUGCUGUGGCAUUCUGCCUGUUCUGCCUCCUCCGUGGAUAUUUCCUCAUCCCGAGACCAGCGAGGAGGGACACAGAGUCCACCUGAGAAACAUGUCUCUGUUCCCGGACCUUGUGUCUGACCUACAUCUGAGAAGUCUUAAGGACAGGAGGUUUUGCCAUUUGCCUACUGGUGGAGCACAGAGAAGUGGCUACUUGGGGAACACACUGUAUUUCCCUCUUGUCAUAAAACUAGGUUGGCCUUCUUUUGGAGUGACCAGAUUGAGGAUUGUUUUUAAAAGGAACUCACCCACAGGGACUUCAUCCUGGGUUUGGAGGAGGAUGUUUUAAGCAACCAGGAGCUGUGUCAUGAGAACACUGGAGCGGCUCUAAGGGGAGAGUCGCAUAGCCAGGAACUAAGGCCUCGGGCCAACAGCCAUUUGAAUUAGGCAAUUUUGGAAACAUCUUUCAGCCCUGGUCAACCGUCAGAAGACAGCUGCCUGGCCAACAGCUUGACUGCAGUCUCCUGAGACCCUGAGUCAGACCACCAGCUAAGCCGAUCCUGGAUUCCUGAGCACAGGAACCAUGUGAGAUAAAUAUUUAUUGUUUUAAGCUGCUAAGUUUUAGGGUAUUUUACAUAUACCUUUGUGGUUAUAGAUAACUAAUACUUCUUAUUAAGAGAGUUGUAGACAAAUGCUCCCAGAUGGCUAUCACAGAAGGUCCACAAAAGCAGCCCAUUGGAGGAAAACAUCAGCUUUGAACGUUUACCAGUCCCCGAGGGCACCCGCAGAAGAUCACAACAGCACAAUCUAGGAAGACCCUUCUUCUCACUCCUCCCUCUUGUGACUGCCCACACCUCCCCACGCCCAGGCUAGCAAGCUGGGGAGAAACAGGCAAGUAGGAGACCAGACGUAGAUAAGAUGCUAACCACUCAAAUCUGCAAAAGGAAACAGGGUUUGCUUUCAAUGAAAUUUGGAAUUUUUGACUAUGACAUGGGGUUGGGUUUUGUCAUUACUGACAUGAAAAAGUGGGAGCAGAAGGGUCCAAGAGGACUGCCUUAGGUUUCCCCCAAUGCGUAGAGAAGUAGCCAAACACAGUGGGUUGGAACAGACUGUGGGGGAAAGAUUGCAGUUCUGUGUCCUGUGGAGUCGUCUUCUUUCAACCCAUCCUUCCAACAGCAAGGUCGCUUACAAAGUCCUCUGGAGCUAAGCUUCCACCUGUCUUUUCAGCAGUGGUUCUUUGCCGGUGGAACCUCUACUAGUCUUCAUAGCAUUCUGUCAAUAUCACCUGUUCUAAGCAAGGUCUCUUGGAUCCCCUGUGGGAAUUAACCUCUUCCUAACCCAUAAUAUUCUGGAGCUUUUUGUCUUGGCUGUCCCUUCCAUUUUGUCCUUUGCACACACCGCCCCCUCCCAUUGUGGUAUUUUUUAUAUAUUUCCUUAAGGUAAAUUUACUUGUCUUGCUCUCAUACCAGACUGCGAGCUCUCUGAAGGUGGAUCCUACAUGAUAAUGCUAUAAUAGAGGUCUGAGGACCGAUAAUGGAGAGAUUAACAAUUCCCUUUCAAUUUGAGUUUCUACAGUAAAGUAUAGCUGAAAGACAUUCCAGACCUUCCAGAGGCCAUUAACUGAGGAUAAAAGAUUUAUAAACAAAGCUCCCCUGAGCCGUUAGAGCGCAAUCAAAGAUGUGAAUGGGGUGUACACUUGAGGUCAGAUGCUGGGGUCAUAGGGAGGUCAGCAAGGAACCUUCACAGAAAAUGCUGAAUGGACAAACUGAGGUCCAGAGAAAGUCAACAGAAGAAGACAGGAAGUCCAAGAAGGGAGAGAACGGGGAGCCAAUGUCUGAGGCAAAUCCCACCCCAGGGUUGACAGGGACUCCGAUUCAUUCAGUGGGUCUCCACGAAGUGCCUGCAAAAAGACUAUGACUGUUACAAGGGCCCAAAGCCACACCCCCCCAGUGCUCCUCAGUGUGACUUGGAGGCGUGGUAGCCUGAUUUUGGUGCAGUGGUGAUAUUCAUAAAGAGGGAGUCUGGGACUGCAGCCUGGAUCAAAAGGGGACAUUUAAAGUGCAUUUGAGAGUUUUUUAUAGAAGAGAAAGACUAUGUAAGUUGUUGAAAUUAAAAAGCGAGUGUUGGGUGGGCUAUGGCAGUCGAUAAAGGGCCGAGCACUUUCUGCCGCAGCAUUGCUUAUGGGACUGUCCCCAAAAGCUUUGCAAGAGAAAAAGAGGAGAGGGUGGCUGACAGAGCCUCAGGAACUCAGCUGAGUCAGCAGGCAAAGAUACAAGCAAUCCCGCAGCCUAGCUGGACCCUCAUAUGAAGUGGGUGAGUUACCCCUCUUCCAUUUAAUACACCCCACGGAGGAGCCCAGAAUCUCAGAGGGGACUCCCUUGGGUUAUCUAAGGAGGAAAUCCAGUCCUAAAUAGGGCUGCUUUCCCUUGAACAGAGGCUUCCAGGUGAUGAGCUCCACUUGAACGGCAACAGUCUGGAGGCAAGGCCACGCAUGUCACGCUGACUUCCUCCGGUCAAUCAGCAUCCCCACCCCUUUCACAUGAGAGGGUGGUGCCGUGGCCUUGACUGGGCUUCUCUGCUGCCCCUUUCUCUAGCGUCCCCCACUGCUUCUCAAAGUGGGGCAGUGCUGUUUGCCUUGAAAGCUUCAAAGGCUGGCUGGUUAGCAGUCAGCUGCAACCCAUCAAGGGCUGAUUAGGCAUUUGAAAAGGUGGAGCCUUUUUAACACAAUGAUUGACAACGGCUUCUAUCUCACACACCUGCUGCUUUAAACCCCCCAUAAAAUGUCAGCAGGGAGUGUAAGCGAUAUACAGCAGUAGCGCUGCCGGGGCAGGAAUGUUAAGUGCUAGGAGAUGGGAGUCUCGGAACCUCAGCUACUGGAGAGAAAACAAAGCAAGCCCCAAUCUAAUCCAUUUCUAAAGUGAGAACCAUCAGGACACAUCUCACCAGUCCAGCUUUGCUGCCCCCGGACAGGGUUCAGCACUGGCAGUCACCGUCAAGCCCUGAGUUGUGGUUACUGAGUGACUGCCACAAGACCGUCUCUGCCCAAUGCGUGGCCAGCACCUGAGGACCAGAUCAGCUAGCCCCAGAGUCAUUUCUGGCCACCAGCCCUGUGGGACCCAUGAAUGGAAACCCCAUUGGCUAUCAAAGCCAGGUGAUUCAGGGACCUAUAUCUGGGGCAGCAGCCACAAAAGCUGGAGCACCAGAUCCCUUUGGAAAUAUGGCAAAAGCUAUGGGUCCUCAAAAGUGAGUUACCAGUCACACAAGCAGAGUCAACGCAGUGAGAACUACAAGAAAGCCAAGGGCAAAAUGAAAGGACUUGAUUUUUGUUGGCUAUUGUUUAUGUCAGGAAGUAUGCUGGGCACUUUUUACGUUAAACACUCAACUGUUAUUAUGUCCAACCAUCUCAUUCAAUCUUUAAGCUCUGUUAAGUUCAUUUUACAUAAAAGUUAACUCAAAGGUUUAAGUGAUUUGGUGAAAGUCACACACAGAGCCUGAAAGAUAUAUGGGUAGGGUUUUGAGCCACUUCUCUACGCUGGGGAGGAAAAUUGCAGGGAAGCAGAGAUGAGGGAAAAGGAGGAGUGAGGCAGAGGAGGAAAAGAGGUGAGGGGGGCAUUCUGAGCUGCCACAGCUUGGCAAGGAACCUAUUCCCUGGUCUUCUGGCAUCUUCAGAAAGGCUGAAGCUGCUGUGCCUCCAAACUGUCUGUCUGGAAGAAAGUAUGUCUCCGUCAGCUCCCGCCUCCCACCAGUCAGGGAUGGCCCCGAGGAGUAUUAACUCUCUGGUACUUGUAGGUUGUUCAACUGAAGAUGUUAGGAAGUUGGGCAUGUGAUGGCUCGCUGUGCUGUGAAAGCCCUAAGGCAGAAGGCAAUAGGCUAGUGGUUUGGGCACUGAUAGAGCAAGCCCUCAAGGGACCUGAGGAAUUAGGAGAAAUUGCCUCUGCUCCUGAUGGCUCUGCAGGGCCCUCUGUUUGUAGCAGCAGCAGUCCAAGAUCACGGGACUCAAGCAAGUCUUCUCUAGGCCUGCACUGGUCAGAAAGCAUGUGAGGGGCAGAUCCUGGCUGGGGCGUAAUCUGAAUCCCCUACAGUUACGGUACGUGGGCUGGCUCUACCUUUGAACUGUUCCUACGAUGUUCCAACUGGAAUCAGCACUGACAGGAAGGGUUAACUGGAACACUAUGAACAUCUUUUACGUUUUGAAGGUCAGGUGCCAUUUCGUAAGGCGUGAUGUUUCCCUUUAGAUGAUUUCAACAUUUUAAAAGCUGUUUAUUAUUCUCAUUGCAGAAACAGAGAAAGUUUGGAAAAAUAUCUAAAAGAGUAAGAAAAAAAAUAAAAAUCACUCAUAUCAACAAUACCUAGAAGUAACCAUGGGUAGUAUUAUGUGUAUGUGAGCACAUAAGAAAUAAAGCCAGGUAUUAUAUCAAUGUUAGGUGAUAAAUGAAGAAAAACUGCAUGCAAGCAGUAUGUUGGGUAAAUAUUUUUAAAAACUAUCUUAUUGUGGUAAAGUGUAUAUAACAAAAGAAGUCAUUUUAGCCAUUUUUUAAAGAGUAGAUAAUUCAGUGGCAUUAAUACCCCUUCUACUGUUCCUAUCCCCAUUGCUAUAGGACACAAUUGGCAUGUCUCUUGGAGAUUCCAUGCCUUGACAACAGCACAAGGUCACUUGAGUAACCACAGCCUGAUAAGAGUGAAGUGGUGAAGGCUCAGCGAUGCAGAAUGGGAAUCUGCUGAGGGGCACUAGAAGUUCCAAGGGAUGUGGGAGGGGCACCGAGAGCCUCUUCUUGACUUCUGUGGGGUCCUCCGAGAAUAAGGAAAGGAUCUCUCUUGCUUAAAUCACAGCCCAGAGGUCUUUAAGGCUCCAGCUCAGUGCCCACCAUGGAAAGUUAGGGCUCUGUGUCAAAAUCGUCUCCCCUGGGGCUGAAACCCACAGCAUCCAGAAGAGACGCUGGUUCCCUUCUGAGACAGGCCUGGGUCUUUCAGUGAUGAUGGUCUGAAUCACUCCACUAGGCAAGCACCCUAGGCCUGCUGAAGUGCAGGCUGAGCAUGGGGGGAACUCAGAGUGGGUAACUGAGGAAGGAGAUGUUGACUAUCAAUUACAACCUGGGGACCACCUACAACAAUGAGACUGGAACUUGGCCCACUAACCCGCCUCUGUUAAGUCUUGAGGCGAUGGCAGUGAGCAAUCUUGAGGUGGAGCAGAAAUAGCGAUGGGCAUCACUGGAUGCCUGGCUAAGGACGGGCUGUCUAAGAUGCCUUGUGCCCUUCCUUCCCUCACCCAUUGCUGAAGGACCAACUUCACACAGGUGUAAACUUUCAACCCCUCCUCCUUCUUGCUUUCUGCACCAGGUUUUCCCUGACACCUCAGAGUGGAAGUCUGUGGGAACUCACUCAGUAUUCAUGCUUGUGCUGCUGCCUGCAUGGGGGCAACACCCAUGGGUGAGCCUUGACCGAUGGGGAUUGGAGUUAGUGGACAUAUCCCUCCCUCUCCCAUCCAUUCAGUGGAAGAUGCUGAGGCACCUUCUACACAGCUCCUCAGAGGGUCCCAGUGGGACCGAGCCCCCACUGUGGUAACAAGCUCGAUAAGCUCCUUGCAUUGCUUUUCCCGGUUUUCCUGUUACACUCUUUCCAUCCCCCUACUCCUCUCUCCUAGAAUAACUUCCCCAAAUAAAUUACAUGCUAGUAAGCCCUUAUCUUAGGCUGUGCUUUCUAGGAGAACCCACGCUAAGAUUAGUACGUAUCCCACUCUAUGUAAAUAUCAUAAGCCUGUCUCCUUAUCAUUAUAAACUAUAUAAACAUUUUUAAUGGUUGUAACAUAAAGCAGACUCUAGAGCCGCACUGCCUGUCAAAUAACUGCCUGGUAAGGAAACUUGGACAAGUUAUUUAAUUUUUUGGUGUCGGUUUUCUUAUACAUAAAAUGGUGAUAAUAGUAAUAAUACUCUCCCAGGGUUAUUGAGAGAAUUAAUAUGUUAAUUCAGAUUAAGUGCUUUCAACUUUGCCUGGCAUAGAAUAGCUAACACAUUGUGCUUUCUAUUAUUUUUAUGACAACAAAUUGGCUAAUUACAAUUUUUCCACUGUUUCCACAAUUUUUCCACUGUUGAAAAAUGCACUGUGUGACCCAUAUCAGCAUGAAUAGGGGCCACCGAUAACAAUGCGCACUGCGUGAACCAUCCCUGCUAAAUCACGUCUGCGUUUAAGAGGUCCUGAGGACAGAUUCCUAGAAGCAGGAUUUCUGGGUCCAAUACACCAUGCCUGCUGCAACUUCAGAACUUCACACUGCAGUGUGACAGCUUCUUACUGCCUGCGCCCCGCAAGAUAGAAACACUUGGGGGAAGGAACCAGG
rnacentral:lncRNA from 1 species